CGCCUUGCCAGCCCGCUCAGAAACUCAAAGGAAUUGACGGGGGCCCGCACAAGCGGCGGAGCAUGUGGAUUAAUUCGAUGCAAGCGAAGAACCUUACCUGGGUUUGACAUACACCGGAAAACCGUAGAGAUACGGUCCCCCUUGUGGUCGGUGUACAGGUGGUGCAUGGCUGUCGUCAGCUCGUGUCGUGAGAUGUUGGGUUAAGUCCCGCAACGAGCGCAACCCUUGUCUUAUGUUGCCAGCACGUGAUGGUGGGGACUCGUAAGAGACUGCCGGGGUCAACUCGGAGGAAGGUGGGGACGACGUCAAGUCAUCAUGCCCCUUAUGUCCAGGGCUUCACACAUGCUACAAUGGCCAGUACAGAGGGCUGCGAGACCGUGAGGUGGAGCGAAUCCCUUAAAGCUGGUCUCAGUUCGGAUCGGGGUCUGCAACUCGACCCCGUGAAGUCGGAGUCGCUAGUAAUCGCAGAUCAGCAACGCUGCGGUGAAUACGUUCCCGGGCCUU
rnacentral:rRNA from 1 species